AAAACAUGAAAGAACAAACUAACUAAAAGAUAUACUCGAAAUAAGAACUAUAAAUAUAACUAUGGAGUCUUUAGGCGUCCCCUUCGCCGUCUUCCUGCGGAACGGGCUCGGGAACAAUGUCUUCCUGAUCUGAAAUAGUUAAAUAAGGAAUGAGCUACACCAGCCCAGUAAAGACAUCACACUAUCUCACCGCCACGGGAGUAAAGGUGGGUAUAAAACAAAAUGACCAAUAGAGCAUAAUUUAUAACAAGUUCUUUUAUCAAUAAUAAAAUCCUUUACUGUCCACUUACCUCAGCGAGAUCCAUGAAAACAACAUCUGAAAAUAAUAACCUU
rnacentral:lncRNA from 1 species